CGCUAUUUAUGGUGGAUCAUCUGUAUAUUUCCUCAGACAGAAUUAAGUAUAUAAAAAAAAUCCGAUGACUGGGGUUGUUCGUUUAGAUGAGGUUCUUAAGUUGUGAAAAAGUUAGUAUCAUGAGAGGAUAAAAAAUCCUCUUUUUCAAGAAGCGUAACACUUCGAUUUUUUUUUAAAAUUUCUCUGCAAUAAGAUUCAUAUACAUGUAUAGAACUUUGAAGUGAAAAUGAAAAUGGGCCUAAAGCGUGACAUUGGCUAUAUA
rnacentral:lncRNA from 1 species